rnacentral:tRNA from 2 species
AGCGGGAUAGAGUAAUGGUUAACUUGUCAGGCUCAUAAUCUGAAGAUUGUAGGUUCGAAUCCUACUCCCGCCA